GAGUUUGAUCCUGGCUCAGGAUGAACGCUAGCGGCAGGCUUAACACAUGCAAGUCGAGGGGCAUCGGGAGGGAAGCUUGCUUUCCUUGCCGGCGACCGGCGCACGGGUGAGUAACACGUAUGCAACCUGCCCUCUUCAGGGGGACAACCUUCCGAAAGGGAGGCUAAUCCCGCGUAUAUCGGUUUCGGGCAUCCGAGAUCGAGGAAAGAUUCAUCGGAAGAGGAUGGGCAUGCGGCGCAUUAGCUUGACGGCGGGGUAACGGCCCACCGUGGCGACGAUGCGUAGGGGUUCUGAGAGGAAGGUCCCCCACACUGGUACUGAGACACGGACCAGACUCCUACGGGAGGCAGCAGUGAGGAAUAUUGGUCAAUGGGAGAGAUCCUGAACCAGCCAAGCCGCGUGAGGGAAGACGGCCCUAUGGGUUGUAAACCUCUUUUGUCGGAGAACAAAACCCGGGACGUGUCCCGGACUGCGUGUAUCCGAAGAAAAAGCAUCGGCUAACCCCGUG
rnacentral:rRNA from 1 species